rnacentral:rRNA from 1 species
AAUGGCUCAUUAAAUCAGUUAUCGUUUAUUUGAUAGUACCUUCUACUACAUGGAUAUCCGUGGUAAUUCUAGAGCUAAUACAUGCUAAAAACCCCGACUUUUGGAGGGGUGUAUUUAUUAGAUAAAAAACCAAUGCCCCUCGGGGCUCCUUGGUGAUUCAUGAUAACUCAACGGAUCGCAUGGCCUUGCGCCGGCGACGGUUCAUUCAAAUUUCUGCCCUAUCAACUUUCGAUGGUAAGGUAUUGGCUUACCAUGGUUUCAACGGGUAACGGGGAAUUAGGGUUCGAUUCCGGAGAGGGAGCCUGAGAAACGGCUACCACAUCCAAGGAAGGCAGCAGGCGCGCAAAUUACCCAAUCCCGACACGGGGAGGUAGUGACAAUAAAUACUGAUACAGGGCUCUUUUGGGUCUUGUAAUCGGAAUGAGUACAAUUUAAACCCCUUAACGAGGAACAAUUGGAGGGCAAGUCUGGUGCCAGCAGCCGCGGUAAUUCCAGCUCCAAUAGCGUAUAUUAAAGUUGUUGCAGUUAAAAAGCUCGUAGUUGAACCUUGGGCCUGGCUGGCCGGUCCGCCUCACCGCGUGUACUGGUCCGGCCGGGCCUUUCCUUCUGGAGAGCCGCAUGCCCUUCACUGGGUGUGUCGGGGAACCAGGACUUUUACUUUGAAAAAAUUAGAGUGUUCAAAGCAGGCCUUUGCUCGAAUACGUUAGCAUGGAAUAAUAGAAUAGGACGUGCGGUCCUAUUUUGUUGGUUUCUAGGACCGCCGUAAUGAUUAAUAGGGAUAGUCGGGGGCAUCAGUAUUCAAUUGUCAGAGGUGAAAUUCUUGGAUUUAUUGAAGACUAACUACUGCGAAAGCAUUUGCCAAGGAUGUUUUCAUUAAUCAGUGAACGAAAGUUAGGGGAUCGAAGACGAUCAGAUACCGUCGUAGUCUUAACCGUAAACUAUGCCGACUAGGGAUCGGGCGAUGUUUCUAUCUUGACUCGCUCGGCACCU